CUGGAAGUAACACUGCUGAAAGAGGAAGAGAAGAAGGUGAAAGACAGGUCAUUUCUUGAAAAAUGGUACAGGAAAUGUUUGGUCUCAACAGAUAAUUUAAUUGCAUAGUCCAAUCUGUAUCAUUGUUUCAGGCCAAAUGGAAAAUAAGAGAUAUAUUUGUGCAGAACUCUUUUGCCCUCGCUAGAAAACUGGAAACAGCCUUCCUUCAUGCUUUCCAGAGGGUUGGUUUGAAUUUGCUGCUGUUGAAGUAUAGCCUCUGUCUUCUUCAUGUUCCCUUUGCACAGUGGGUUUGGUUUCUAAGCACAGGAUGACAAUGAACAAAGAAGAGUCAAGAAGACUUCAGUCAUAAUAAACAUACAAAUGAACCCUAGCAUGAAAGAUUUUCAGGCAAUGGAGACUACUCUGCCUUGAAACAGGGCUCCAGAAUCAGAAAGGAUUGUGACAGUGGCAUGCAAGGAGGACUCCAGUUCAACUGAGCGCAGCAUUUCCACGUGAUGUUCACCACUGGCCACACUUCAUCAGGAGAAACUCCCACAUUAGAGAUGUGUCCUUUGUGUGGAAGCUGAACAAAUAAGAGGGCUCUGUGUCCAACAGUGCGCUGCUUUGCAGGUCAGAAGGCCUGAGCUUUGUCUGAAACUUCCUUGGAGAUGCAGAAACAGUAAGAGCCAUUUGCCCAUAAAGUUCUGUAAUAUGACUCCCAUCUUCUCUCUGUGCUCCCUUCUCAUCUGUUUAUGUGAGCAUGUACAUAACUGUACAGAUAUACCUACUCCGAUGAAAGUCUGCAUCAGCUUUGGUCCUAUUGAGUUUUCUGAAGUGAUUUUUUCAAUGUGAUGUAUUUUAGCAUUAAAGUGAAUGAAUGAAUGAAGCAGUAUACUUCAGCAGCGUUGGUAAGAGGAAAGGGAGUGAAAGGGGUGUUUGAGCAAGGUAAAGUGCACAUGAAACUGGAUAAAGUCACCUGCUGCUCCCCAUCAUGCAACCUAAGAAAUGUAUAGGAAUUUACAAUGUACAAAUGUUCUGCUUUGUAACUACUGAAUUUCAUGGUUGCAUAUUUGCCACUUGUGAAUUUGUAACUGGAUAUUAGCAAUUUUCAAAUAGCUUGGGAUGUUACACAUACAGUACUUAUAAAAUAUAUGGUAAAUAUAUGAGACAACCCAUUUAUUCACUGUAGAGGGCACAAAAGGAAACAGAAAUACUGAGAACUCUUACGCAGUAAGCCAUCAGACUGGCACGAUCUCAUCAAAUAUGCAAGAGUGAGCUGAUGCGAUCCCUGAAACAUUUCUAUACAUGUAUGAUAGAAACAGUUAUGUUGUCUAGAUAAGAGACCAAAGCAAAAUAGUAUAAACAAGAUGGUGUAAACGUAAAUAAGACAUUAGAAGUUGCUGGUAGGACAAAGUUAGAAUCUUACUUGAUCCUUAUGUGUUACUAGAUGCUGAAUGGGAUGAGAUCUAGUCUGUGAGUUGUACCGUGCUUAGACAACAAUAUGUCAGAGUUAAAACUGCAGAAUGCAGUAACCUCUGGUUUUAUUAAUCUCUUCUGAAACACAUCAAGUGUCACUUUUAUUUAUUACCAUAUAAACAGGAAACAUUCUUCUAAAAAUAUGAAACGUUAUCCUCGUUCAAAGUAAUAGGUAACCAGAAUGUAGGGCAUCACUGUUUCUGCGUUGUACAGUGACUUGCAGUGGUUGCGGUACACUUUCUUUGCUGUUACUGUGAAAAUGUUGGAAAGUGUCUUUCUCUUUCGUGCUUCCACAGUCAUUAAUACAUUAAAGUUCAUGUCUUUGGCUGGGCAUCUUUGAUCAUAUUGUCCUAUCCUAACCUAACCUAGCCUAGCCUAGCCUAGCCUAGCCUAAUCUUCCUGUUUUAAUAUUUGUAUCUUAUAUCCUUGAUCAUAUCAUAUAAUUGGGCAGAUAUAAAGAAGGUAAAACCAAGAAAUAACAUUGAAUAUAUAUGAAAUAUAUAUGAAAGAAAUAUUUUUGCUGAAACAUAUAUAUAUAUAUAUUUUUUUUGCUAAGAAGUGUUUUGAGGUUGAAAAAAAUAAUCAGAAGGACAAGUAAUUUCAAAAUAUUAAUAGAAAAAUCUCAUUAAAAUUAAAAGUAAUUCCUACUGAGUAAUAUAUUUGUGAUGUAUGUCAAAUGGCCAUAAUUAUCUACCUGAG
ensembl:lncRNA